ensembl:lncRNA
GUUUACCAGGACCUUUGAAGAUGUAAAUACUUCCCCAGGCCCUGCUGGGAUGGAUGGGGUCAGAGUUCACAGGCAUGGCCGCCUGCUUCUCCAAAUGGGCUGGAAAUCUUGCGGGCACCUGGGUUAGGGUCCCGUGUGACAGGACUUGCCCCAGGGCACGUGCUCUCUCUGGGGCUCUUCUGGCUCAGGCCCUGUGACUUGGAGGGACUGAUGGGAGCUGUCUUUUUCAAACGCUCACAUUUCUCUUGGGUAUGUUUUCCAGGGUGUAUUUGGGCCCAUUCAGAUCAAUCCCUGGAAGAUCUGACCCAGAGAACCUCUGUCUCCUCCUGCCUCUCCCUGAACUUUUUAUUCUGCAAAUACUAGAUUGCUUGAGAUUUCCUGCUCACAGCCUGCUCUAUCACCCCUGGUACCCCCCUGUGCUAACAGCUCUGCAGUCAUUCCCUUCCCCACCUUCCUUCUCAGCAUGACUAACUCCUAUUCACCUUUCUGUAUCACCUCCCCCAGGAAGCCUUCUCUGAAUGCAGUCUGCUCCUCUGCUUAUUCUCCUGUAGCAUCCAAUCAACUCAUAUUUAUGUGACUCAGCUCUGCAGACUUUGGGCAUUUUGCCUUGGAAGGAGGAGGAUUAUGGCAGGAGAGACCUCAGUCCUCAGGCCUGGAGCAGAAAUGGGAGAGUUCCCACUACUUCCUGGUCGACCAGUGGUUUGCAAAGAGGAGGUUCCCAAGAAGAGGACAAAGAACAAGAGCUGAAAAAGGAAGAAGAGCAUGGGGUCCAGGAGGACUACAAGAGGCAGGGCAGCCUGGACCAGCUCCCCUCUAUAGCGCUCUUGGGGAUCUUGGGUUUUUGCGCCUUUUCCCUUCCUACUUCCCCUGCUCUGUCUCCAUCCCAGGCCCUGCCACUUUCCGCACUAGAACCAGCUUCCUCGCAUGUGAGAGAAUCUUGGGGUACAGACCAGGCAGAGAGAAAGUGAGUGACACUCAUACCAUCUCACUUUACCAGUUCAGCACAGACUUGAAUGCAUUUCUUCAAGGUCGUCUGAGUUUUCUUCCUUUCACGCCAGCUGAGAUUUUCUCUAGCCUACGCGCUUUACCAGCAUGUAUGUGGUUCUCUCUUGUUGGGUUACAGGAACGGCAAGGUCCCUUUCUGACUGACCUUGAGGAAACCGUGUGGCUUGGUUUUAGAAGUCCCUGGAACUCCCGUUCAGAGUCACACGGGUGAAGAUUGAGGAGGGGGUGACAGGGAGAUUUGGUGCCUCAGAGCUGCAGUUAGGGGGGAUCCAGACAGGCCAGAUGGCAGAAAUGUUCGCUCCACAAUUGUUUCUCCGACAGAACCACGGGAGUCAGUGUAGACCCACAGUCAGUGUGUUCAUGCCUAUGGGCAUGUUGGGUGGGUCAAGGGGCUGUGUGAUCUGAUUGGCUCAUGAUGACUGGUCUCUACCCACCAGGCUCAAAUUUCUUGAUAUCUUUAUGGCGAUACUCCCUGGCAUUUCCUUCUGCAUACACACUAUCUUGUCAAAAAUUCUCAUUUAAGCCAUCUUUCUGACCCCAAUGUGGUUUUUUUGUUUGUUUGUUUGUUUGUUUUUUUGUUUGUUUUACAAAUCUUAAGUGUAUGUUGGGUUUUGGCAAAUAUAUACCAAGUAUUUUUAAAAUAUUAUUUUCUCUUUCAAUAGUUAUUGCUUUGUAUUUUAAAAACUCUUUUACAAUUGUACUUUAAAAUUACUUCGAUGGUAUAUUUAAAUGGUUUUGGUAAUCACUGUGAGUUCCGACCCUGGAUCUUUUUCCUUAAAAUUUUAGCAUCCUGAGAAUUGUCACUACAGUGACUUUAGCCCACCUGGGGCACCUGAUCACAAGCCCUCAGUGGUGCCCUUUUGCUUCUCCAGGACUGGAAUUGCCUUGGUCCUUGGAUCUGACAAGGAGACAAAGAGGGGCUCUGGGUCCAGGGCAUGGCACAUGGAGACAGGCUGGGCUGACUGGUCUCUGAGAAGCUGAACGUGCCCUCCACCAGGGUGUGAAUAUUCUCCAGAAGGACACUUCCUCUUUUCCAGUGGGGUUUUCUGGAUACGCCUGGUAGAGAGCAGUGGUCUUCUGUUUAACCCACUAUGUGUGUGAGUGUGCAUGUGUGAAUACUUGUCGUAUUGAAAAAUUUCAAACUUUACACAGCAGUUUCUUUCUCACCAGGGUCUCUGCUUGUGUGAAACUUUAAUUUUACAGCUUUGGCUGUUAAUUCAUCAUGGGCACCAACAUCAAUAAAUAUUUAUUGGGUUUUCA